UUCAAAAACAGGUGGUAGGAUUAUCAGGA
rnacentral:piRNA from 1 species